rnacentral:rRNA from 1 species
UACAGAGGGUGCGAGCGUUAAUCGGAAUUACUGGGCGUAAAGGGCACGUAGGUGGCUAUUUAAGUCGGAUGUGAAAGCCCCGGGCUUAACCUGGGAACUGCAUUCGAAACUGAAUGGCUAGAGUAUGGUAGAGGGAAGUGGAAUUUCCGGUGUAGCGGUGAAAUGCGUAGAUAUCGGAAGGAACACCAGUGGCGAAGGCGACUUCCUGGACUAAUACUGACGCUGAGGUGCGAAAGCGUGGGGAGCAAACAGG